AUCCGAGUGGUUUCUGCUAAAGAAACCUUUUGCUAGUCCUAGAAACACUAGUGAAUAAGGGGUGGGCAAGUUCUGGUGUCAGCCGCCGCGGUAAAACCAGCACCUCAAGUGGUCAGGAUGAUUAUUGGGCCUAAAGCAUCCGUAGCUCGUUUUGUAAGUUUUCGGUUAAAUCCAUACGCUUAACGUAUGGGCUGCCGGGAAUACUGCAUAACUAGGAAGUGGGAGAGGUAGACGGUACUCGGUAGGAAGGGGUAAAAUCCUUUGAUCUAUUGAUGACCACCUGUGGCGAAGGCGGUCUACCAGAACACGUUCGACGGUGAGGGAUGAAAGCUGGGGGAGCAAACCGGAUUAGAUACCCGGGUAGUCCCAGCUGUAAACUAUGCAAACUCAGUGAUGCAUUGGCUUGUGGCCAAUGCAGUGCUGCAGGGAAGCCGUUAAGUUUGCCGCCUGGGAAGUACGUACGCAAGUAUGAAACUUAA
rnacentral:rRNA from 1 species